CUGGCUGCAGCUAGGGGGAGCUCCAGAGCACAGCUUCUCCCGGGCCCUUAGUAAGCCAGCCGAGGGAAGCUCAGAACUCUCUGCUCCUCCAUGCUCUGGAUGAUAGCCAAAGACAGCUGAAUCCCGCCCUGCCCGUUUUUGUGCGCCCUGCCGCCCCGCCGUUUGCUGCCUGCCGGACCCCGCCACGUCGCCGGAUCCAGCCGUGCGCCGCCGGACCCGCAAGCGAAGCAUCCCACAUACAGUUUCACUGCUCCGGAGAAGCUGCACAGGCAAAGCACACCAUCCAGCCAGAAUACAAGCUAAAGCUGUGUACAUUGAUGUGUAUGUUGGCUGCAUUUGUAUGUACAUAAUAAGGGUACGGCGAGAACUCUGCAUUCUGUAGCUGAACUGGCUUAUUUAAUUGGACUGCAGUAUGUUAUCUAUGCUCUUACUACUAGCAACUACCCAUCAGUGAUUUCAGUAUCUGUUCUUCAAAUUAACACGAGGAUCUGCGGCUGUACAGCCAGACUGGUUCAUUAAUCCUUCAAGCAUUAAUACAUCAUGCAUAGCUAAUCUGUGCCGGGUUACGUUAUAUGUGUGCACA